GAUGAACGCUGGCGGCGUGCCUAAUACAUGCAAGUCGAGCGAACAGACGAGGAGCUUGCUCCUCUGACGUUAGCGGCGGACGGGUGAGUAACACGUGGAUAACCUACCUAUAAGACUGGGAUAACUUCGGGAAACCGGAGCUAAUACCGGAUAAUAUAUUGAACCGCAUGGUUCAAUAGUGAAAGACGGUUUUGCUGUCACUUAUAGAUGGAUCCGCGCCGCAUUAGCUAGUUGGUAAGGUAACGGCUUACCAAGGCUACGAUGCGUAGCCGACCUGAGAGGGUGAUCGGCCACACUGGAACGGAGACACGGUCCAGACUCCUACGGGAGGCAGCAGUAGGGAAUCUUCCGCAAUGGGCGAAAGCCUGACGGAGCAACGCCGCGUGAGUGAUGAAGGUCUUCGGAUCGUAAAACUCUGUUAUUAGGGAAGAACAAAUGUGUAAGUAACUAUGCACGUCUUGACGGUACCUAAUCAGAAAGCCACGGCUAACUACGUG
rnacentral:rRNA from 1 species